AUUGAACGCUGGCGGCAGGCUUAACACAUGCAAGUCGAGCGGUAACAUUUCUAGCCUGCUAGAAGAUGACGAGCGGCGGACGGGUGAGUAAUACUUAGGAAUCUACCUAGUAGUGGGGGAUAGCUCGGGGAAACUCGAAUUAAUACCGCAUACGACCUACGGGAGAAAGGGGGCAACUUGUUGCUCUCGCUAUUAGAUGAGCCUAAGUCGGAUUAGCUAGAUGGUGGGGUAAAGGCCUACCAUGGCGACGAUCUGUAGCUGGUCUGAGAGGAUGAUCAGCCACACCGGGACUGAGACACGGCCCGGGCUCCUACGGGAGGCAGCAGUGGGGAAUAUUGGACAAUGGGGGAAACCCUGAUCCAGCCAUGCCGCGUGUGUGAAGAAGGCCUUUUGGUUGUAAAGCACUUUAAGCAGUGAAGAAGACUCUUCGGUUAAUACCCGGAGACGAUGACAUUAGCUGCAGAAUAAGCACCGGCUAACUCUGUGCCAGCAGCCGCGGUAAUACAGAGGGUGCAAGCGUUAAUCGGAAUUACUGGGCGUAAAGCGAGCGUAGGUGGCUUGAUAAGUCAGAUGUGAAAUCCCCGGGCUUAACCUGGGAACUGCAUCUGAUACUGUUAGGCUAGAGUAGGUGAGAGGAAGGUAGAAUUCCAGGUGUAGCGGUGAAAUGCGUAGAGAUCUGGAGGAAUACCGAUGGCGAAGGCAGCCUUCUGGCAUCAUACUGACACUGAGGCUCGAAAGCGUGGGUAGCAAACAGG
rnacentral:rRNA from 1 species